rnacentral:rRNA from 1 species
CAGCGCCACGGUAAUACGUAGGGUGCAAGCGUUAAUCGGAAUUACUGGGCGUAAAGCGUGCGCAGGCGGUUAUAUAAGACAGAUGUGAAAUCCCCGGGCUCAACCUGGGAACUGCAUUUGUGACUGUAUAGCUAGAGUACGGCAGAGGGGGAUGGAAUUCCGCGUGUAGCAGUGAAAUGCGUAGAUAUGCGGAGGAACACCGAUGGCGAAGGCAAUCCCCUGGGCCUGUACUGACGCUCAUGCACGAAAGCGUGGGGAGCAAACAGGAUUAGAUACCCCCGUAGUCCCUGUCUCUUAUACA